rnacentral:rRNA from 1 species
AACGAACGCUGGCGGCAUGCCUAACACAUGCAAGUCGAACGAGACCUUCGGGUCUAGUGGCGCACGGGUGCGUAACGCGUGGGAACCUGCCCUUAGGUUCGGAAUAACUCCCCGAAAGGGGUGCUAAUACCGGAUAAUGUCUUCGGACCAAAGAUUUAUCGCCUUUGGAUGGGCCCGCGUUGGAUUAGCUAGUUGGUAGGGUAAAAGCCUACCAAGGCGACGAUCCAUAGCUGGUCUGAGAGGAUGAUCAUCCACACUGGGACUGAGACACGGCCCAGACUGCUACGGGAGGCAGCAGUGGGGAAUAUUAGACAAGGGGCGAAAGCGUGAUAAAGCAAUGCCGCGUGAGUGAUGAAGGCCUUAGGGUUGUAAAGCUCUUUUACCCGGGAUGAUAAUGACAGUAACGGGAGAAUAAGCUCCGGCUAACUACGUG